rnacentral:lncRNA from 1 species
AUAACAGGUUCCUUCAUCACGGUGGUCAGUGUGAAUAUUAUUCCUAAUAAAGACGCAAAACCUGAAAUAUUAGGGAAGGUCAUUAUUGGAUCAUAUCGACUCCAGCACUUAACUGGAACUCGAUUUUAUCUAUUCUGAAAGGAAGAAAGACAAAACUGAUCUGGUUUGGAUUUGAACUUCGAAAAUGAAGAGACUGGCGACUAUAAUCUAUCGUGACAUCUUCGUCAUUGGAUCUCUAUUAAGAUGUAAGUAUUAUUGACAGAGACAACAUCUACGUUGUAUAAAUUCUGUCAUCUUCCUUCUACAUCUGUUUGUUUGGAGGUGUUCAAAAAUAAAGGAAAGGAAAACGAUGUUUGUCUUAAUCCCCAAACAGGUCGACUGUCGCAUUUGUAAUAGAAGUGAGUUGAAAAACUUGCUUUAGCCGACCUUGCCUCAAUACUUUCCCUCUUUUCCUUUCCACUCUGCAUUUCAAUUAUCGUUAUCCCCCCCCCCCAUAUCUUAAUACUAACGCAAAGAGAAAGUUCCUAUUUCUUAUUGUUUAGUCACCUUUUACCUUUAUUUCUCGCACCUGAACUUUACAAACUUUUCUCCAACUUCGCUAAUUUAAAGUCAUUUUGAGGAUAAUUACCGGUAGUCUAGCUGAUAAUUACAACGAACAAAAUUGAUUUCUAAUUAAAAUAUAAAAAACAACAACUGAGGUAUUAAAAUUCCUUUUAAAGUUCGAAGCCGUUCCAUUCCAAUAUAUUUUGGUGUUUUACUGACAUAAAGGAAAUCCUGUAAUUUCUCUGAGACAGAUGUAGAUUCCUCGUGGAUAAAGAUACAAUCUGCUUUGAUAUAUUAGAAAGAAGCAAGAGAAAUGUUAUGUCAAACACUAACAAAUGACUAAACAUCGACUUUUUACAUUGAGACCUGUUUUUAUUCGUGAUUUCUUAUUUGUUUUCUCAAACGUUAAUACAUUUGUGUUGAGCUGAGGUUUGUUGAAUGUGUUACGUUGAUUUUGUUUUGCUGAGAAAGUGAAGGAGGUUUGCGUGACAUGCCUCUUCAGCAAGAUUAUCUGCUCUACUUCACUGCAUGUUCUGAUAUUACAUGUUUUCUCAGCGAAGAGAGAGAGAGAGAGAAGAAAUAAGACGGAUGAGUUCCAUUGUCCAAGUAAAGGUUUAUAUCUACAGUUUAUCGAUAUAGAAGUAACGAUUUAAAGAGUUCACUGUUGAAUGUCCUCAGUUUAAGCAUCCUCGAUAUUUUAUUUUGCUUCUCUUUUAUUUCAGAUCAUCAGAUGGCGUUCGCAUAAAACAAUUAUAUACUCGAG